rnacentral:rRNA from 1 species
GAUGAACGCUGGCGGCGUGCCUAAUACAUGCAAGUCGAGCGAAUGGAUUAAGAGCUUGCUCUUAUGAAGUUAGCGGCGGACGGGUGAGUAACACGUGGGUAACCUGCCCAUAAGACUGGGAUAACUCCGGGAAACCGGGGCUAAUACCGGAUAACAUUUUGAACCGCAUGGUUCGAAAUUGAAAGGCGGCUUCGGCUGUCACUUAUGGAUGGACCCGCGUCGCAUUAGCUAGUUGGUGAGGUAACGGCUCACCAAGGCAACGAUGCGUAGCCGACCUGGGCGGGUGAACGGCCACACGGGGACUGAGACACGGCCCAGACUCCUACGGGAGGCAGCAGUUGGGAAUCUUCCGCAAUGGACGAAAGUCUGACGGAGCAACGCCGCGUGAGUGAUGAAGGCUUUCGGGUCGUAAAACUCUGUUGUUAGGGAAGAACAAGUGCUAGUUGAAUAAGCUGGCACCUUGACGGUACCUAACCAGAAAGCCACGGCUAACUACGUGCCAGCCGCCGCCGUAA